UACGGAAGGGGCUAGCGUUGUUCGGAAUCACUGGGCGUAAAGCGCACGUAGGCGGAUUGUUAAGUCGGGGGUGAAAUCCUGAGGCUCAACCUCAGAACUGCCUCCGAUACUGGCAAUCUCGAGUUCGGAAGAGGUUGGUGGAACAGCUAGUGUAGAGGUGAAAUUCGUAGAUAUUAGCUAGAACACCAGUGGCGAAGGCGGCCGAACUGGUCCGACACUGACGCUGAGGUGCGAAAGCGUGGGGAGCAAACAGG
rnacentral:rRNA from 1 species